rnacentral:lncRNA from 1 species
CUGGUGUGUGCCAGUGGCCUUUUAAAGGUUGAGGUGAGCCUUGUGGCCUGAUUUCUUCACUCCUUGCAGGUUCAAUGGGACCAUCACUCUCUGCAGUUUAUCAGUCUUUGGGCGAUGGUCGCACACUACCUUCCUGCAGAAGCCAUGGAAACGUACCUCAGAAACAACACCUACUAUGGUCUUCAAACACUGUUUGACAAAAAACAGAUGAGGUUUGUUGGUAUUUUUUUUGUUUUAUGUUUUGUUGUUUUUAAAUUAAAGUAACCAGCUGAAAAGUACAGAAUUCCGAAUAGAGUUGAGAUCACAGCUUUCCCCAUGGUGGGCCACUCAUAUAUUACCUUUAUGGGGUGGUUACUGUCAGACAGAGAUGGGAUGUUCCUAGAGUAAGAGCUGGAUUCCAGCAGAGAAUUGUAGAGGUUCCUCUGGAGGAAAAUGUAGAGACACUGAUGGUGUCCUGUGCGUGCUAAGCCAGCCCACCUGUCAGUCAGUACCAGAGCUCCCUUUCUGUGAUUACAGACUUUGCAGUGAGUGGGGAAAAAUGAGAUGGAUGGGAUAGGCACAGGUAGGAAAUCUGUCUCCAGUGUUAUCACACAGCAUGCCUGGGUCUGUUGCUGACACACCAGACCUUUGAUCUUCUGAGUAAGGCUGCUUUGCUUUUUCUUUGUAUUAGAGCCAUACUUGAGCCUGAAUAUGGCUCAAAUGCUUUUGAUCUUACUUGGAUAGAAGGGGAUUAAAUGGCAUUCUGGCAAAUGGUUUGGUUUUAGGGCCACAUGUCUGUGUACUUCAGUAUUUAAGUAGAUAUUAGCUAAAUAUUCUUCCAAAGCCCUGAGUUGGUGAUGUACAGUUCCCUAAAUGUAAGCAGUUUCGGAGUGUCACAAUAUUCUGUGUGGUCUGUUCAACUCUAUAUGUGCUGUGUGGGAGUGGUACAGAUGGAGCUGGAUAAAUAUCUUGCUUUUUAUCUUAUGGGCUCAUCCAUCUGAAACACACAACUUUAUUUUUUACAUCCUGUUUGUGUGAAUUAUUAAACUACUCUUGGAAAAGUUUGUUGAUUUUUGACUUAUGACAUGACAGAUUCUGUGUGUGUGUGUAUGUGUAUUUUUGUUUCUUUUUUCAUUUCCUGAAAUAAAAACCUGCUGUCAGAAUUUUAUAUUCA